GCCCACUGCUUUUCGACUGAAGCUGUCCAGUCACUUAAAAAAAAAAAGUAAUAAUUUUCCCACUCUCCACCCCUGCAACUGCUAAAUCUCCAGAUAGAAACAACCCCUCCAGGAACGCUACCCUCCAGGUUCUGAGAGCCCCUCCCUGGGUGCCCACUGCACGCAUGCUCUCUUCCUUCAAGAUGCUUGUUUACCAUUUCAACUUCCCUACUGCUCACUCGUGGACAUCCAGCGGGAGGAGCCACUUCCAUGUAUCAUGAUGUCGGAGGCCCCAAUGCAGGACUAUAAACAUCUCUCAAAUCUAUGCACCUCUUGCCUCCAAACCCCCCAAAGAAGGACCAAAACCACUAGGAGACAACAGUUGAAUGCCCAGCGGCCUCCACCUGCUACCAAGAUCCAUCCAAAGCAGCUGGAAUGAUCCUUCUAACAAUCACAUCAGGCCGUUUCACCGCCUGACUUAAAGCCCAUUGACUAAGGUGGUAGAUGCACUUGAAAUGAACCCGGAAGUACUUAUCAAAGCCAAGGGAAAAGCAGUGGCACUAGCCAAGGAGGAGAGACAUAUCAGGUUCCUCCUCGAGCCGAACAGCAGUGAUCUGUAGAAAAGUCCACCACACGGUCAAGUCCCUAAAAGAAAGUGAUGAGAAACAGCUUGCCAUCGCCUGGAAGCAUACGAGCUCAGAAAUGGAAUGUGGCUGUCGCUCAGGCCAGUGGCUUCCAGACAUUCUCCAGACACUUGACAGUGGCAGAAUUCUGUGCCAGGAGCUCCAGCCAGCCCUCCCAUCCCUGGCCCCCAGCCCCAUUCCUACCCACAUUCUCACCUCUACACCCACCUGAACCCUAUUCCUGCCCCACUCUUGUCUCCACUACUUUCUUCUCCCUAUCCCCACACCCACUCCAUCCCCACCCUCACCCCAACACCCACCCCCCACCUCCAGCCCCCACUCCUUGCACUGGAGGGUUGCAUUUGCCUGCUUCCAAAUGGACCCAACUUAAAGACAAAUGGCCCAGCAUGUUUGAGUGACUUUGCUCCUAGGCCCACAGACCUUAGGGAUCAUCUAGCAGUAACGUUUUUCACGCUCCUGCUCUUCCUACUGCUCCCUCAGAUGUGCUGUCCAUUCUAAAUGGAGCCAUUUCCUGUUCAUCAGCGCGUGCACCUUGAUUUGUGCACACCUGCCCCGCUUCCGCUGAGCUCAUUGCUCCUCAUCGUUUUCCAUAACCGCAUCCAUGUGUAGCAGUCUAGGAGGUGGGUGUGGAUAAAAGCCAGAGGCUGCUAGUUCUGAGGCUCCAUGCUUGGUCCAGGCCUCCUGAGGGGUGAGAGGAAACUUACCUAUAAGACAUUCCUGGAACAAUCUUGGGCUAGAACCCCUUAGGCUCCACAUUUCUCCAGAGGAAGGUAAGAAGGAAAGACUUUGGGUCUGAUUACCUUCUAACAAAACUCCAUCUUUCUUCUGCUUUCUAACACUGCUUGGGAUCCAGAUAUGAGGUUUACUUAUUUUUAUUUUCUGUGUGAGUGUGUGUGUGUCUGGUUCCGUUGGAGGCCAGAAGGGGGGGCUAUACCCCUCAGAACUGGAGCUGCAGGUGAUUGUGAGCCACCACGUGCACGCUGAGAACCUGUCCUGUGCACGAGCAACAAGCACUCUUUAUCCUAGAAUCAAACCACACAUUCUCUGGGGUUAAGGAUUUUGUACCUUGAAUGAGGCUGUGUGUUCAACAAGAUCCUGUGAUAGUAAGAUUAUUUUCACUGUACAAAAUUUUUUUAGCAUCUCUUCAGCCAAGUCCCCAUCCCAAAAGGUUGUCAUGGAAGUGAGACUGAUUAAAUUAUGUAUUUCAUUAAUAUUGUCGGAGGAAAACCAAAUAGCUGUGAUCAAAGUGUGGGCAGUGUCUGUGGAAAAAGUAUAUUUUCCUUUCUCUAGACAAUAAACAGGAUUCACCAAACAGAGAAAAAAAAAAAAAGUGCUACCCAGGUGGGCAGUGCCACUGAGGUGGGAAGUCUCAAGGCUCACCAAAGAAAGAAUAGGUCUGCCCUGUGGUUUGCCAGAGAAUCUUGGCCAUGAAAGUUGGGGCUUACUAGAGACCCAGGGCAGCCUAGACUACAGAAGCUUUCGAGUCUUAUAGUAGCGAAGCUGGACUCUAUUCUAUGUUCAUUCCUAAAACAAGUCAUUAGACUCCUACCAGGUGCUAGGCAGCAGUCAUCACUGGGGAUAUAAUUUUACGAUUGCAAUGGGGAUGGGGAAGGGAUUUAAAGUGUCCCAAGUGCUACUACAGAUGUGUUAGAAAUAGAUAAGAAGCGGGCAGGUGCAAUAAACUCUGUAGAGACUAGGAGAAACUUCAAGAAGGGGACUGAAGUGCUAAGAAAUUAGGACUUUGGGGCCAGAGAUGUGAUUAGAGGUAUAUUUUCUGCAGAUUUGACCCCUCACACUAUCAUGUGCUUCGGUUUGGAGGAAUGGAGCAAUAGGAGACAAGAGAUCCACUUAAGAAGCCAUUGCAAGGUCCGGGAGAGAGAAGAUGAGAGUUAGGAAAGAAAGAUUGAAGUGAAAGACAUGGGUGGACUUGGCUGUUCCAUGUGCGAGGAGGGUAAUGAAUACAGUGCAUAAUAACUACCCACAGCUACGGCUAAUUCACACAAUUAGCUGAGGAUGCCAAACACAGGUCAAUGUCUCUGCCAGUAUACUGAAGUAUUCCAAAAUACUGAUGUAUUCCAGAUGUUGGGACUGUUACAACUUCUUUUGUCUCUGUAUUAAUGAGCUGUCAUAUUAUCCACUCAAUCUUAAAGAAAUAAAUCCUCUAAGUAUGGCCCUUUGAAGCACA